AUAUUCUCAACUCCGUUCGGUUUGCCGUCGGGGCUUGGACUUGGGGUGUGCUGGCGCGAGUCGGCUCCCCUUCAAAUGCAUCAGUGGAACCUUAACCCGGUCUCGCCGUCAUCAGCGUGAUAACGCAAAGUUGCGCUGUUGAUGAGCCGGGGGUCUCGCUUACAAUGGUCUUCGGACAGCUUUGAACC
rnacentral:misc_RNA from 1 species